rnacentral:rRNA from 1 species
UACGGAGGGUGCAAGCGUUAUCCGGAUUCACUGGGUUUAAAGGGUGCGUAGGUGGGCAGGUAAGUCAGUGGUGAAAUCUCAGAGCUCAACUCUGAAACUGCAUUGGAUACUAUUCGGCUUGAGGUCUGGAGGGGGGACUGGAAUUCUCGGUGUAGCAGUGAAAUGCGUAGAUAUCGAGAGGAACACCAGUGGCGAAGGCGAGUCCCUGGACAGAUCCUGACGCUGAGGCACGAAAGCUAGGGGAGCAAACAGG